ensembl:snRNA U1 U1 spliceosomal RNA
AUGCUUUUUUGGCAGGGGAAAUCUCAUUCUCAAAUAUGUUGUCUUCCCAGACUGAGGCUGUACCUCUGCAAUUUGCUAGUGCUGACUCCUACAAAGUCCCCAUAUGUGGGCAUCUAGACUGCAUCAUUCCUGAUAACGGCUGACUUAGUUUACCCUUUC